CCUACGGGGGGCGGCAGUGGGGAAUAUUGGGCAAUGGGGGCAACCCUGACCCAGCAACGCCGCGUGAAGGAAGAAGGCUUUCGGGUUGUAAACUUCUUUGACGAGGGAAGAAAGAAAUGACGGUACCUCGAAAACAAGCCACGGCUAACUACGUGCCAGCAGCCCCGGUC
rnacentral:rRNA from 1 species